AUUGAACGCUGGCGGCAUGCCUUACACAUGCAAGUCGAACGGCAGCACGGGAGCAAUCCUGGUGGCGAGUGGCGAACGGGUGAGUAAUAUAUCGGAACGUGCCCAGUCGUGGGGGAUAACGCAGCGAAAGCUGUGCUAAUACCGCAUACGAUCUAAGGAUGAAAGCGGGGGAUCGCAAGACCUCGUUCGAUUGGAGCGGCCGAUAUCAGAUUAGCUAGUUGGUGGGGUAAAGGCCCACCAAGGCGACGAUCUGUAGCUGGUCUGAGAGGACGACCAGCCACACUGGAACUGAGACACGGUCCAGACUCCUACGGGAGGCAGCAGUGGGGAAUUUUGGACAAUGGGCGCAAGCCUGAUCCAGCAAUGCCGCGUGCAGGAUGAAGGCCUUCGGGUUGUAAACUGCUUUUGUACGGAACGAAACGGCCCUUUCUAAUACAGGGGGCUAAUGACGGUACCGUAAGAAUAAGCACCGGCUAACUACGUGCCAGCAGCCGCGGUAACAC
rnacentral:rRNA from 1 species